rnacentral:rRNA from 1 species
UACGAAGGGGGCUAGCGUUGCUCGGAAUGACUGGGCGUAAAGCGUGCGCAGGCGGUUAUGCAAGACAGAUGUGAAAUCCCCGGGCUCAACCUGGGAACUGCAUUUGUGACUGCAUGGCUAGAGUACGGUAGAGGGGGAUGGAAUUCCGCGUGUAGCAGUGAAAUGCGUAGAUAUGCGGAGGAACACCGAUGGCGAAGGCAAUCCCCUGGACCUGUACUGACGCUCAUGCACGAAAGCGUGGGGAGCAAACAGG